UACAGAGGGUGCAAGCGUUAAUCGGAAUUACUGGGCGUAAAGCGUGCGUAGACGGUUAUGUAAGUCAGGUGUGAAAGUCCCGGGCUCAACCUGGGAAUGGCAUUUGAGACUGCAUAGCUAGGGUGCGGAAGAGGGAAGCGGAAUUUCCGGUGUAGCGGUGAAAUGCGUAGAUAUCGGAAGGAACAUCAGUGGCGAAAGCGGCUUCCUGGUCCAGCACCGACGUUCAGGCACGAAAGCGUGGGGAGCAAACAGG
rnacentral:rRNA from 1 species